AUUGAACGCUGGCGGCAUGCCUAACACAUGCAAGUCGAGCGAGCGGCGGACGGGUGAGUAAUGUAUGGGGACUGCCCGAUAGAGGGGGAUAACUACUGGAAACGGUGGCUAAUACCGCAUACUAUCGGAUAACCCAUAUGGGAUUAGCUCGGAGGUGGGGUAAAGGCUCACCUAGGCGACGAUCUCUAGCUGGUGUGAGAGGAUGAUCAGCCACACUGUGACUGAGACACGGCCACGAAUCCUACGGAGGCAGCAGUGGGGAAUAUUGCACAAUGGGUGAAAGCCUGAUGCAGCCAUGCCGCGUGUAUGAAGAAGGCCUUAGGGUUGUAAAGUACUUUCAGCGGGGAGGCGUGACCCGCAGAAGAAGCACCGGCUAACUCCGUGAAAGCAGCCGCGGUAAUAC
rnacentral:rRNA from 1 species